ACCUCAGAGCAGGCGA
rnacentral:rRNA from 6 species